rnacentral:lncRNA from 1 species
CAUGACUGUUAAAUUAAUGUGCAUUUCCAGGAAAAUUAAUGUGCAAAUUCCAUGCUAAAGUGCUGGUAUUUCUCUUAUUCUUUGUUUGCAAUGACGUAAUUUUUGGAUUUCAGUUGACGGGCAGGUAUAACAAAAAACGGCUAUUUUAAUGUAUUGAUCGAGUUUAGAGACUCAAAAUAUACAUUUUCUUGCUACAACCAUUCUGAUAGGAGAAAAGUCGUCCACAAGUUGUUUGAUUGCGCGCCAUUUGGAUGAAAAGUCAGGUGAUUGCAAACAAAGAAUUUUGUCGAGUGUUUAUUUGAAGUCUCAAUAUGUUCUCAAUAAUUUGUUAUCGUUGUUAAUACCAUUCGUGUCUGCUCAUUUCAGCA